rnacentral:rRNA from 1 species
AUGCUCCUACGGGGCGCAGCAGUGGGGAAUAUUGCGCAAUGGGCGAAAGCCUGACGCAGCGACGCCGCGUGAGGGAUGAAGGCCUUCGGGUCGUAAACCUCUGUCAGGAGGGAAGAAACGGCAGGUGAGUAACUGCGCCUGUUUUGACGGUACCUCCAAAGGAAGCACCGGCUAACUCCGUGCCAGCAGCCGCGGUAAUACGGAGGGUGCGAGCGUUAAUCGGAAUCACUGGGCGUAAAGCGCACGUAGGCUGUUAUGUAAGUCAGGGGUGAAAUCCCACCGCUUACCGAUGGGAUUGCCUUUGU